GACGAACGCUGGCGGCGUGCUUAACACAUGCAAGUCGAACGGAAAGGCCUUUUCUGUGUUACUCGCUUGGCUAACGGGUGAGUAACACGUGGGUGAUUUGCCCUGCACUCUCUGUUAAGUCUCGUCAACUGGGUCUAAUACCGGCUAGGUCCGCACUCCUGCUUGUGUGUUGGAAAGUUUUUUUGGUGUAGGAUGAGCCCGCGGCCUAUCAGUUUGUUGGUGGGGUAAUGGUCUUCCAAGGCGGCGACGGGUAGGCGGACUGAGAGGGUGGUCGGGCACAGUGGGGAUGGGAAACGGCCCAGACUCCUACGGGAAGCAGCAGUGGGGGAUAUUGCACAAUGGGCGGAAGCCUGAUGCAACGACGCCGCGGGGGGGAAGACGGCCUUCGGGUUGGAAACUCCUUUCGGCAGGGACGAAGCGUUUUGUGACGGUAACUGGUGAAGAAGCACCGGCUAACUACGUG
rnacentral:rRNA from 1 species